rnacentral:tRNA from 1 species
GGAAGGGUGGCCGAGUGGUUAAAGGCAGCAGACUGUAAAUCUGCCGACGUCAGUCUACGUAAGUUCGAAUCUUACCCCUUCCACCA